CAGAGAUCAUGCCCUCACGGGUAGACCUCCCACCCUGUGUUAUUUACUCUUGUUGCUUUGGCAGGCCGCCUUCGGGCUCUCGGCUCCGGCUGAGGUGCGCCUGCCAGAGGACCCCAACUCUGUGUUUAGUGUCGUCUGAGUACUAUACAAUAGUUA
rnacentral:misc_RNA from 1 species